rnacentral:rRNA from 1 species
AGUUUAAUCAUGGCUCAGAUUGAACGCUGGCGGGAUGCUUUACACACAUGCAAGUCGAACGGCAGCACGGACUCGGUCUGCGGGCGAGUGGCGAACGGUGAGUAAUGUAUCGGAACGUGCCUAGUAGCGGGGAUAACUACGCGAAAGCGUAGCUACUACCGCAUACGCUCCCCGGGGGAAAGCGGGGGACCUUCGGGCCUCGCACUAUUAGAGCGGCCGGAUAUCGGAUUAGCUAGCUGGUGGGUAACGGCUCACCAAGGCGACGAUCCGUAGCUGGCUGAGAGACGACCAGCCACACUGGGACUGAGACACGGCCCAGACUCCUACGUGGAGGCAGCAGUGGGGAAUUUAGGACAAUGGGGGAAACCCUGAUCCAGCCAUCCCGCGUGUGCGAUGAAGGCCUUCGGGUUGUAAAGCACUUUUGGUGGGAAAGAAACGGCAUCGAUAAUACCCCGUGCAACUGAUUAUACCUGCAGAAUAAGCACUACACCACAUGCCAGCAGCCGCGGUAAUACGUAGGUGCAAGCGUUAAUCGGAAUUACUGGGCGCGGAAGCGUGCGCAGGCGGUUCGGAAAGAAAGAUGUGGAAAUCCCAGAGCUUAACUUUGGAACUGCAUUUUUAACUACCGAGCUAGAGUGUGUCAGAGGGAGGUGGAAUUCUGCGUGUAGCAGCAAAUGCGUAGAUAUGCGGAGGAACACCGAUGGCGAAGGCAGCCUCCUGGGAUAACACUGACGCUCAUGCACGAAAGGUGGGGAGCAAACAGGAUUAGAUACCCUGGUAGUCCACGCCUCUAAACGAUGUCAAUUCAGCUGUUGGGGCCUUCGGGCCUGGUAGCGCAGCUAAUCGCGGGUUGACCGCCUGGGGAGUACGGUCGCAAGAUUAAAACUCAAAAGGGGAAUUGACGGGGACUCCGCACAAGCGGUGGAUGAUGUGGAUUAAUUCGAUGCAACGCGAAAACCUUACCUACCUCGAUAUGUCUGGAAUCCCGAAGAGGAUUUGGGAGUGCUCGCAAGAGAACCGGAACACAGGUGCUGCAUGGCUGUCGCUGGCCCGUGUCGUGAGAUGUUGGGUUAAGUCCCGCAACGAGCGCAACCCUUGUCAUUAGUUGCUACGAAAGGGCACUUUAAUGAGAUUGCCGGUGACAAACCGGAGGAAGGUGGGGAUGACGUCAAGUCCUCAUGGCCCUUAUGGGUGUGGGAUCACACGUCAUACAAUGGUCGGGACAGAGGGCUUCAACCCGCGAGGGGGAGCCAAUCCUGAAACCUGAUCGUAGUCCGAUCGCAGUCUGCAACCUGACUGCGUGAAGUCGGAAUCGCUAGUAAUCGCGGAUCAGCAUGUCGCGGUGAAUACGUUCCCGGUCUUGUACACACCGCCCGUCACACCAUGGGAGGGGUUUUACCAGAAGUAGUUAGCUCAACCGUAAGGAGGGCGAUUACCACGGUAGAUCUAUGACUGGGUGAAGCCCAAGGU